rnacentral:tRNA from 1 species
GCCAGGAUGGCAUAGUGGUUUGUGUGUUGGACUACAACUCUGAAGGCCAGGGUUCGGUUCCUACUCUACCA